rnacentral:rRNA from 1 species
GAUGAACGCUGGCGGCGUGCCUAAUACAUGCAAGUCGAACGCGAGAGGAGGGAGCUUGCUCCCUCUGAUCGAGUGGCGGACGGGUGAGUAACACGUAGGCAACCUGCCCAUCAGCCGGGGAUAACUGCGGGAAACCGUGGCUAAUACCGGAUAAUCCUCUCCACCGCGGGGUGGGGAGUUGAAAGACGGUUUCGGCUGUCGCUGAGGGAUGGGCCGGCGGCGCAUUAGCUGGUUGGCGGGGUAACGGACCACCAAGGCAACGAUGCGUAGCCGACCUGAGAGGGUGAUCGGCCACACUGGGACUGAGACACGGCCCAGACUCCUACGGGAGGCAGCAGUAGGGAAUCUUCCGCAAUGGACGCAAGUCUGACGGAGCAACGCCGCGUGAGUGAAGAAGGGUUUCGGCUCGUAAAACUCUGUUGUUAAGGAAGAACGCCAGGUAGAGUAACUGCUACCUGUGUGACGGUACUUAACCAGAAAGCCACGGCUAACUACGUGCCAGCCGCCGCAGUAA